CCAGGUUUACUCAACAUUAGUUCAUUUACAGCCCGUUUUCACAUGUUCAAAGAGGAAGAACUUACAUGCUUAAACUCAUAAUACAAGACCUGGAAUCCAUACACAACCAAAAGAAAUAAUUACAACCAAUUUUACAAAUAACCCCGCUACCUUAUGUACAUGUCCCACAUCUCAAAAGAAUAAUCAUAUUAUAAUACAAACAAAACCAUGCGGUUAAAUCUUGUUGAUUCAGAAGUUCCAUUUAUCAAUAAUGUCUUUGGCGAAAAAUAUUUAACAUCACUCAUUCCAGAUCAAUUCGUUAUGAAACUUUCUAAGGUAUAAUCCUUUAAACCACUGACCGAGGUAAUCAAGUUGGAUUAAUUUUAAGCAGAUGUGACAAGGUUACAAUGCUCUCCAAUCUGUCACAGAUGAAGCAGCAGCAGCAGCAGCAGCCUGAAUUUCCCCUAAAUACAACAACUUCACCAAAUUCAUAAAGCGACGCCGGAAGGUUGGUAUGUGUGUCAUGAAGGUCACAAUGCCCUCCAAUCUUCUAAUUAUGCCCUGCAAUUGUGCUCUUCUGACAUGGUCAUUAGAUGGAAAUCCAGAGUCAUCCCAAUCCUCAGGAUUUUCAUUUUUGGACCUUAUAAUUAACCUUCUCAGGCAGUUUUCUUCAUUUUCAUCUAAUUGGAGUUUCUUUAUUUGCUCUUUCAUGAUCAAUAAUGGUCCGAUUAACCACUCAAACAAUUUAUCUCUUGGUGCAUUAUAUCUUGUCAGCUCUACAUCUUCAGAUAUAAUCAACCCAGAUGAGUCUGACUUCGCAGAGGCAAGCAGACACUGUAAUAGGGACCAGGCCAGUAGUUUGAUGCUCAACUUCUUACAAUCACCCUUCAUGGCGCAUGUCUCAAUGUCCUUGAUAUUUAACAGGCCAUCAUGAAGGAGUUUCCUGCCAGUCACCUCGCAGGAUGUAAAUAGCCAAUCCCAUACAUGUACUGGUUUAUAUUGAUGGCCAGACCACUUCAGUGUUCUUGAUCUUUCUGAGGAUAGUUUUGCUUCCAGAGAGUUUUCUCUUCUGCUCUUCAUACCAUUGUUGCUGUCAUCUGUUUCUGAGCUCAUGUUUUUUCGAUAUCUAGGCCUGGGCAAGCACGAUCCUUCACUCAAGUAGAGUAAAUCAUUUACAUAUUCAUCAAAUAGUGAAACCACUGCCACAACAUAGGCAAGUCCCAUCAGGAGCGAGUCUUCCUGAUGGACUAUCACUGCACUGUAAAGUCCUAGAAAUAAGCUGGAUAUAAUGGCACCUAUCACAGAUCCUACAACUGCCAAAGGCCACAGGAUGAUUGCAAGACCUGCAAAUGGAACACAAACUGUCUCCAGGAAUGGCCCUUCUCUACCAAUCAAGUCCUCUAAUAGCCUUUUCCAUCCUUGGAACAGCAUGUAUGGGCUUUUCCAGAGUGCAACAAUGGUUAUCAGAAGCACAUCUACAGGCACAGCAAUUAGGAUCACCAACAAACAACUUGGCAAUCUUGAUAACUUCACAUCCAUGGGCUUUUCAUCCUCUGGGACUUUCUCACUUAAUUCAUCCAUAUACGAGAAGUAAGAAUGGAAGCAAAAAUCUGUGAAAUCCCGUAACACUGUGCAGCUCCCUUUGAUAGUAGGUAAACAGCCAUCAACAAAACAGUGAUAGAAUUUGUCCCUAACAUUCUCUCCAACAGCCUCAAAAGUAGCAAGAAGAGGAGUAAAGAAUCCAUAUCCAAUUCCACCCAAAAAACUAGCAGCAAUUCCAACGACUGGCCAAAGGACCAAAGGCAGUGGCAACAACAAUAAUACCACAAAUUUCAGAACCAGCCCAAGUCUCUUGGUUCUAGCAACACAAUAGAAUGUCCAGAUAAAAUGAGCAAUCCAAAGCCCAAUUAUAACAGCUGAAUUACCAAUCACAAUAAUACCCACUACUAAUGGACAAAUGAUUGAAGCUUUGACAAGGCCCAGAACGAGGAGCAAGAAGAAGAAGGGCAGAAAGUACACAAAGCUCCAUAGCUUAGCAAGAAAACCAACAGGCACCCUCAUGGUAUGGCUGGCUCUUCCUUAAGGAUUCGAUCAGAGAGAGAAUUAAAGAAUCAGAAACCAAAAGAGGAAGAAGGGACCUGUCUAGUCUGUAGUCUGUUCUCUGUACGUCUGAGGUAUCAUUUUAAGUAAAAAGCUAUAGAUUUUCCGAAGGGGUCUAGAGAGACAGGUGGCAGGCGGCGGAGAUUUGUGAGGCGUGAAAGCCCCG
rnacentral:misc_RNA from 1 species